GCUCCAAAGGUCAGCGGUAGACCGGCCUCACCGAUUAGUAACGUCAGAAACGGAGGCGCAGGUUCGACUCCUGCUUGGAACG